AAAUUGAAGAGUUUGAUCAUGGCUCAGAUUGAACGCUGGCGGCAGGCCUAACACAUGCAAGUCGAACGGUAACAGGAAGCGCUUGCUGCUUCGCUGACGAGUGGCGGACGGGUGAGUAAUGUCUGGGAAACUGCCUGAUGGAGGGGGAUAACUACUGGAAACGGUAGCUAAUACCGCAUAACGUCGCAAGACCAAAGAGGGGGACCUUCGGGCCUCUUGCCAUCGGAUGUGCCCAGAUGGGAU
rnacentral:rRNA from 1 species